rnacentral:rRNA from 1 species
AUGACACUGAAGAUGAAGGAUCCAAGGAUGAUGAUGACUACAUGGAAGUUUCAGAUGAAGAAGACGAGGAUGGAGAAGCCAACAACAAACGAUGAUGACGACAUGAUUCGCACUAGGGUUCUUGAUCUGACUCAAGAAGAGGAAUCAGAUCUGGGAGGGCUCCUUCUGCUCAGCAAUGGGUUCAUAGUUUUUUUGUAUCAGAUUCUUACAGCGGAGCUCAUUUUCUCAAAAAAGGAGCAUAUUAAAGGAGAGAAGAGUUACUUGUCGAGAUCCUCGGACACAUUUUUAAUGUUGUUGUGA